rnacentral:lncRNA from 12 species
GCAAGUGAUAUAUCAGAUUCUUAUUAAGAGAGAGAGAGAGAGAGAAACUCCAGUAGUAGUAGCAUGAUCAGGAAGUGGUUGCUGUGUUUUAGGAUAGAGAUGAUGGGGCCUGGACCAAGUAGGUGCUAACAGAGAGGCAGAAAAGUAGUCGUGGAAGGUCUAUUUUAGAGGUUGAAACUGCAGCAUAAAAAAAAAAAAAAAAAAAAGACACUGCAGCAUAAGCACAGAUGAAAAAAUGAAAGCUAAAAGGGAGGAAAUGGUAGGAACACCAAGGAUGUCCAGAUUCAAAAGACAUUUUGGAAAGAGAAUUUACAGAGCUGAUCACUAAACAGUAUGGACUGUCUGGAUGGGGCCACCUACUUCACCAUGCCAUCAAACAUCUUUGUCCAUAGUAUGCUCAUACAGAAGACUGCAAGAGUUUAUGAAAUUCCUUAUGGAGGGAGUUGAUAUGUCCAAAACUGGCUGAUGCCCCUCUCUUCUCAGCACUUUGCAAAGUGUCAUCCAAAUUUUCGAAGUACUUUGAGGAGUCAACUCACAGCUUGACUUAGCCUUGGAGAACUCGUCAGGUAAAGAAACUAUUUUGGAGGAAAAAAUGAGAGUUGAGAAAAGAGAGAAAAGGAUACCCUUACCUUAUUUUUCCCAGGUUUCAGUGACAAAUUUAAGAGGAUAAACAUACAUGUUUCAGAAGAAAUCACAACACAUUCAUCUGGAUUUCAAAAUCGAGUUGAAUUGUGCAGGCCAGUUUCUCUGAAAUCCCUCUGAAAUGAGAAAAGCACUGACAAAAUGCUGUGUGUGGUAGUAGAGAGUGGUUAAACCAUGGAUCUGUGCAUACAUUAAAUGAUUGCAUAUCUUAUCUUCAGAAUCUACUUCAAGAACACAAAUCAAUAGGAGAAUUUGGUGUGAAGUGACUCUUGGGAACUAGAGUCUUGCUGAAAAUUGGCUAAACAGGUAAAAAGAACACUGAACUUUUAUUUAU